GCUAGUAAUGGCAGGUCAGCAUACUGCCGUGAAUACGUUCCCGGGCCUUGUACACACCGCCCGUCACACCAUGAGAGUUGGAGAUACCCGAAGCCUGUGAGCUAACUUUUUAAGAGGCAGCAGUCGAAGGUAGAAUCAAUGAUUGGGGUGAAGUCGUAACAAGGUACC
rnacentral:rRNA from 1 species